rnacentral:rRNA from 1 species
UUUAAUGGAGAGUUUGAUCCUGGCUCAGGACGAACGCUGGCGGCGUGCCUAAUACAUGCAAGUCGAGCGAGGGUCUUCGGACCCUAGCGGCGGACGGGUGAGUAACACGUA